rnacentral:rRNA from 1 species
AUGAACGCUGGCGGCGUGCCUAAUACAUGCAAGUCGAGCGAACAGAUAAGGAGCUUGCUCCUUUGACGUUAGCGGCGGACGGGUGAGUAACACGUGGGUAACCUACCUAUAAGACUGGGAUAACUUCGGGAAACCGGAGCUAAUACCGGAUAAUAUUUCGAACCGCAUGGUUCGAUAGUGAAAGAUGGUUUUGCUAUCACUUAUAGAUGGACCCGCGCCGUAUUAGCUAGUUGGUAAGGUAACGGCUUACCAAGGCGACGAUACGUAGCCGACCUGAGAGGGUGAUCGGCCACACUGGAACUGAGACACGGUCCAGACUCCUACGGGAGGCAGCGGUAGGGAAUCUUCCGCAAUGGGCGAAAGCCUGACGGAGCAACGCCGCGUGAGUGAUGAAGGUCUUCGGAUCGUAAAACUCUGUUAUUAGGGAAGAACAUACGUGUAAGUAACUGUGCACGUCUUGACGGUACCUAAUCAGAAAGCCACGGCUAACUACGUG